AGUACUUUAAGGGCCAGCUCAUAUGGGCAAAAGUUAUCCCGGUUAGCGAGAAAACUUUUCGACAAGUUUACAAGCGAGCCGUCUUGCCUUGGUAUGAAAAGAAUAUGAAAAGUUACACUGCGUUCAUAUGAGACAAAAAGUUUUCCCGUGUACCGAGAUCUCGCUUGUUGACACGGCCAGAUCUCGGUGACCGGGGGAUAAUGUUUUCCCCAUAUGCAUGAACUCAACUU